rnacentral:tRNA from 1 species
AGCGAGAUGAUGCAGUGGUUAGCAAUCAAGGCUCAUAACCUUGAAGUCGUGAGUUCAAAUCUCACUCUCGCUACCA